UACGGAGGGUGCAAGCGUUAAUCGGAAUUACUGGGCGUAAAGCGCACGCAGGCGGUUUGUUAAGUUUGAUGUGAAAGGCCCUGGCUCAACCUGGGAAUUGCAUUUAAAACUGUCAGGCUAGAGUCUUGUAGAGGGGGGUAGAAUUCCAGGUGUAGCGGUGAAAUGCGUAGAGAUCUGGAGGAAUACCGGUGGCGAAGGCGGCCCCCUGGACAAAGACUGACGCUCAGGUGCGAAAGCGUGGGUAGCAAACAGG
rnacentral:rRNA from 1 species